UAUUAACAAAUAAUAUUACAAAUUCAAAAUAUUUAACACUCACGCUUGUUUCUUUGAAGGAAUAGCAGUUACAUUUAAGGGCUAAUAUCAUUAUUUUAGUUCAGAGCAUAAAGUUCUACGAAAAGAAUUAUUUGCAUUUUAUCUUUAUUUUGUGGGCACACUUUCAUAUAUCUUUCUUUUCAUGUAUGAACGUUAGAGGUCAUGGAUAACUUUACAGGUGUCCCUUUGAAAUUUCUCGGCGGGAACAUUUAGUCUUCAAAUUUGACUUUUAGAAAAUCCAAUGUGAAGGCAGUUCAUAAAUAUUUAUAAAUUCGAUUCAUAAACAUACCGAUACGAACAGUGGCAAAGGCCCGUCAAAUCGACAAACCGCCGUGCUCUUAACCCCUGCUCUAAUAAAAAGGAACCUCAAUAGCAAAUUCAAUUAACCCUACAGACCGUAGAGAGCAUAAGCAAAUACACUCAACCAAUACAAAUACGACGACCGAGACAGACAAACCAAACUCCCUACUUGCAGGAUCUCCUCAUCCCUCUCCCUUGACUCCAUUCUGGGCCUCCGUUAGACCAAGGCACGCGCCAUCUACAUCUGCAAUCCGCCUCACAGCCAGUGGCGCCCGAGCAGGGACGGGGUGGCUGACCAACCGCAAGGACACAAAGUAACUAAUUAUCUCGCCUUAACCCCUUACCAACAGAUUCUAGCACACCACCCUUCUAAAGUUCUCCUGCAGCUUCAUCGCACGUGGCUGGGAAAUGGACCCAAAAAAUAAAAAAGAAAGCUGGGGAAAAUUGAAUGCAAACCCGAUAUGUUUUCCACAUUUGAAUGGACAAUGGGUAGCAGGCCUGGGCAGGGGAAAACAGGAAAAAAUGUAAAUGAAAUGUGUCAAAUGCUGACACAUGCCGCGUCUGAAGCUGAAACUCUUUGGGUUAGGUGAAAAAGACGGACUCAAAUGUAUGUAGUGUCGCAGGGUUGUAGGGUUGCCCAAGGAAACAGAGGGAACUCCCGCCUAAAACAGGCCCCUUGUCCGGGGAAGUGGGACUUUUCACAGCAAUCACCGGCUGAGUGAAUAUUUAUCGAUAACAAACUGAAAACAUCUAACCCCGACCGCCAGUCGCAAUCCCAUUUCUAUUCAACACAACGUCAAACAAGCGAGAUUGGGUUUUGGAGUAAGGAGUAAAGCCUUACAUCGGCUUUGCAUCCUCCUGCCCGAACAUCCGGGACUGGCCAGACUUUCAUCUGCAAUCUCGUUCCGGGAUGGAUGGAUGUGUGCCAGCUAUUAUUUGGACAGCACUCGUGGCGCGUACACGAAAUGAACAUGGCCAACUACAUUGCAGGGUUGGUGCGGGUGUGAUUUAGGAGGAUUCCACGUUGGCAAAUGGCACGAGUCAUUGAGCUAACGAUCGAAAUUGUAUCUCUCACGCAUGUUUUGUAUCUGCAACUCCAAGCGCAGCACUGAAAGAAGCAAAUUUUUGAUGGCGCAAUUAUAUGUUUUCAGGCUGCACUUAGUCUGAUUUGAAGUUUACAAGUUCUGAAACUGACGGCUUAACAGUUUGAAACCUAAAAGUACAGACAAAAGUUCGAUUAAAUACCUUUUACUUAUUACUUUCUUAAUAGGACUUAAAAAUAAAUUUCAAAUAAAUAAAAAAUAUGUCCAUCCACAACUUCUUUUACAAGAUUAAAUAAGUAAAUGAAAUGAAUGAAAUUCCCACACUUAGCCAAAUUAAAUACUUUGAGCUUUUUAAUACAAGGUAGUAUUACCUUUUAAUAGCAGUGCACUACUGCGCACUUCAACAAUCGAAUCUGAAGUCCCGAGCGUUUAACGUCAAAUAAAACCGAGUAAAUAAUUUAACAGCCAAGGCAGCACAUCGAAGUGCCCGGUGCGAAGUAGAAAAACUUUAGCGUAUUUAUUUGCAAUUUUCGCAUUUUAAGCCGAUAAAAGCGGGGCAGCGGCGAUGUGUGAGUGCCCAAGUGUGGGAGGUGCAUGUCGGUGAGACGCCGGGGGUAGUGACCGUAUAAAAUGACAAGCGUUUGACACAAGCACCGGAAUAUCCGUCAGUGCGGCGACGGAGCGGACGACACUGCGUCCUGCGUCCUGGAGAAGGGAGCUCCGGGAAAACGACAGGAUGGCAAAGAUGAGGCCGGAGGAGAGCGGUGAGGGGUGAACGGUAAACGGUGUAGAUGUGUGUCCUGCGCGUGCAGUGUUUGCUAGCGUGUUACGGCCACAUCCAUAAUACAAAAGGAUGCUCCGAGCAAACCGAGCGAGCAUCAUUUCCCGGUGCCAUUUCUAGUUGUGUGUCAACUAUUCUAAUAGUUCCCGCUUGAGUGGGCCAUAGUGAGAGUGUGGGUCUGUGUGUGAGGGUGUGUGUGUGUGAUUUACAGUUGCGCUGAUUGCAAGGAUAAUGCCAAAGUACUCGCCGCUCCGGCAUGAAGUGUCUGGAGCGCUUUCAUUCCUCGGUAGCCAAGAAAGUCCCUGCCAAAGCGGAUGUUAACUUAAAGCAGAUGGAAAGCGAGAAAGUGGAUGCAGCACGGGAAAUUACUUAUUCGAAUUGGCUUGCUUUUAUAUUGAAAGGUGUAAACCGCGUAUUUUUGUCGGCUUAAUGAUAAGCCAAUCUUAUGCUUGCAUUUUACGGGUAAAAUAAUUUUAAGAGGCGGUUUUAAAGCGGAGUUGAAUACGUAUAUAUCUUCAAAAUUAUUCAAUUGCAUAGUUUUUUCCAAGUGUAUUUGGUUGUAAAGGGGGGAGGGGGGUAGGUACGAAUUGAAAGCGAAGGAGUGGUGGCUGCUGCAGUAGUACUACACGUUGCCUAAGAGCCGCUCCGACUUUGAACUAUGACGUUGGCUUUUAGUGUAUUAAGAAAAUGUCAAAGGAGCUGACAGCCCUGGCUCCAGUCGAUGCUGUACCAGGUGCCUGGCUGCGAAUUCGGAGGAGGACGCGGGCAGGGGACCUAAUACAUAAUAAUGCAAUUUUGCCAAGGACAACGGCAAUGAGGAAGGCGGAUUCAUUUGGCUUAGGCCAAAUGCCGGUCUGAAUUUAAAAUCUAAAAAGCAAGAGAAAAGUAAUUGGGAAAAGUGAAAGAGCUCAAAUAAGGGGAAACGCGGCGCUCACUGGAUUAUAAUUUUCUGCAACCAUUCCAGGCGUUCUCCCGAACAAAAAUGUAUGCAGCAUUCCCGGCACCCAAUAAACAGAAUAAGUAAAACGGAAUAUACGUAUAUCCCAGCAAAAUUCCAUAAGCCCAACAUAACAAUUACUGCCAUGUUGGAACACAUAAAAGUUGUAAAGGCCCUAAGUCCCAGGUAUCCCCGUCCGAGCAUCCACCUGUUUGUACACAUACACAUAAUUCUGCCACCUAUGUAAAACCACUGGCAGCCCCAAGUGUCCUCCCCUGCACUUAAUCUCAAUUUGAUGCCUACGCAUACCCUGUAUUCGACUAAAGAGUGUGUAACAACACCAUUAAUGCAUGUUUACAAGGGUUUUCAUUUAGAUGUUAGUUAAAUUUUUGUUGAAGAGUAAUAAUAUUGCAUAUAAGGUGGAUUAACUUACUUAUUUAAGGCAAUUAACUUCAAGCAUAUUUGGAUAUGGAUGCCUCCCUAUUGCAUCUGAAAUAAUAAUCUAAUAAUAUUAUUCAUCUUCCCUUUUGAAAAUGCAUGGAAGAAUUACGGCCUCUUCGAUUUUAUAGGUAUUUUUCAUUUGGCAAUUUAUUAGGUAGCCCAACCCUGGCCAAACAGGAUAUAUUCCCUCUAAUAAUCGUAUAUGCCAUAAGCGUAUUAACGCAAUUCAAUUUCGAGCCAUUUUGCCUCCCUCCAAAAGGCAAAAAAGGAACAACAGCAACGAUUGGAAUAACUACAGAUAUAAGAGCUGGUCGAAACAAUGUAGAUUGUGCCACCUGCGCAGAGCUAUCAGCUUAAUACGAAUCUUAGAUUACCUUUAAGGUUUGAUGAUUAAAGUAUACACAUACAUAUAUAGUAUAUUUGUAUCUAAGAAAACAGCUUAAAAAUUUCUUUAUUUAAAAUUAUAUAUAUUCAUUACAAUAAAUGCAUACAUGAACAGGAUUUAUAAAAACUUUUUACAGGAAAACAAGAGUCUUUAUAAUUUGACUUAUUGGUGUUGAGGGACUUGUGGCGUAUCCCACGCCAUGUAACCUUAGAUAGGGUAUCAACCGGUAAACGUAUUAACUUCCGCUCACUUUUAUAGGCACAGAUAGACACACCUACACCGCCACCGGGACCCAUUUCGCACACAUAUGCCAAACUGAACUACGCUGACCAAAGGACGCGUAUGGGCACCGCCUUCUGGACAGAAAGGGGAAUAGUUCCGGUCCUGAGAGACCGGAGGCCCAUGCAGGACGGUACUACAUCGCGUCACAUGUACAUACAUCUGUACAUAUGGCGGGGGCGAGGGAAUUAGCAAACAAUUGGAUGCUGUGGAUGAAAGUUGGCGUUGGUAUUUUUCCCAUCACAGAGUACAGAGUACCAGUAAGUUGAACAACGACGCCUUUUUCUUUCUCACUCAAAAAAAACUUAGUGGCUUGAAAAUUAAGAGUUUUUCCUCAAACGUGUUGGUUUUUAUUAUUAAUAAUAAUUAUUAUAAAUAAUAAUAAAUUAAAUAAUAUAAACUGUUAUUCAAAAUAAUUUCCUAUAUAUUUACACCCUGUAGCUAUACGUGCGACCUUACACACCAAAAAUACAUAGGCCCCGGUGAUGAUAUAUGAUAUAAAUCUAAGCGACCACUAAAUAGACGUAUAAUAUUAUAUUUACAACCCUUUGUUGUUGAAUACUAUAAUAUAAUACUAUUGCAAUUUGCCUUAUCUGUAAAAACAGGUUUUAUUAGUUGACUUAGGACGUACGGUAUAAUAUCCUAAUUAUGGAACCUUAUAUUAAAGCAAAAUUCACCUGCAACAUAUAAUUACUGUACCACAAAAACCCUCCUAAAUUAGCUUAAUACUUUUACUUUAUUACAUUCGUAAUCAAAUAACUUAUACCCUUCAAUAACCUUCUUGGAAGUACCGGGUAUACAAGUUUCCAGUUGGUUUCAGGAAACGACUCCUUCUAUAAUCAUUUUUGCCAGUAUAUCUAAGGUUCUUGCCCGUCGCUGAUGGCCAAGAGUCUGUUCAACUUUGCAUGGCCACCUACCUUCUUGGUCAACACACGGAUACCGACCUGUACGUGCAGAGCCUUUAGCUUUUUGACCGUUUUUUGUGGGUUUUCCCUAUUCUUUUUUCCCGAUUGUGAUUCCAGGUUUUCGUUUUUUAUGGGUCACCAGAGCGAGUGAUCACGGACAAAGCGAAAGGAAAAUAUUUGCCUGUUGUGCGUUUGACAUUUUCGAUUGUGCAGUGGAUCUGGAAUAUGUGCUUAAAAAGGGUCAAUGUGCAAGUGGUGUAGGUGGGUCCGGACCGAAGAAUAGGAACAGUUGACCAGUGUUUGCCUGCAUGUCCUACAUUAUGGGAAAUUCACAUAUACAUAUAUUAGUCCCCAUAGUGACAUAGUGCGCAAGUAUCAAUCCGAUCAAAACCAAUUAUAUAUUAAUCGGCCGAUACUAAGGACGAGCUUAAGAGAAAUGGUAAUUUGAUGGUAAAAGAUCUCAGUUCGAAAUACCAGAUCAGUUAUCCGUUACUCAGUCAGUGCACACUGAAGUUGAAGUGCGACCGAAAUUUCAACAUUUUCUGGCG